GACGAACCGUCCAAACGUUAUUCGGAAUUACUGGGCUUAAAGGGUGCGUAGGCGGCCUGACAAGUUGGGUGUGAAAUACCUCGGCUCAACCGAGGAAUGGCGCUCAAAACUGUAAGGCUAGAGGAAGAUAGAGGUGAGCGGAACUUAAGGUGGAGCGGUGAAAUGCGUUGAUAUCUUAAGGAACACCCGUGGCGAAAGCGGCUCACUGGAUCCUUUCUGACGCUGAUGCACGAAAGCUAGGGGAGCAAACGGG
rnacentral:rRNA from 1 species